rnacentral:lncRNA from 1 species
UGACCCUUUUAGUGGGGAACCAGAAAACAAACACAAGAGCGGAGCUGCAAAUCAUAUAAGACUAGGAAUGAGACAAUGAGAGGACGGUGACACAAGGCUGGCCGCCACGCUGUCCAUGGUGCGCCCUUCCGCGCAGUGCCGACGCUUGGGCUCAAGGUGCCCGUCAUCGCGCUGCCACAGUUGUGGUGCCUGCCGCCCAGAAGCACUGCAUGAUAACAUCAAUUAAAGCUAGUUCCAGAUGAUAACGAUAAACUUCUGCACUCAUGUCUUCCUCCCAAAAGACAAUACGGAACCACCAAUCCAGCAUGGUCUUACGAAAUCCACAAGCAAACUAGUCUUACUAGUUUUAUGGUCUUACAUGAGGGGAUCUCAAAUUGAUGCAAAUUGGAAGUGGCGCACGGCCCUCCGUCCCAGAAAUUUUGAUAUUUG